UUUAGUCGUUUACUUCUUGUUAAGCUUUCUGAUUGAUAACUAAAACGUCCAGUCAUCUGGAUUUCGAGUGGCUCCUGUCCACUCUGUUUGACGCCUCCCUGUUAAUGACUUCGAGCCGCGGGUUCCGCGGCUCUUUUUUU
rnacentral:sRNA from 23 species